CUACGGAUGCUCCAGUGGGGAAUAUUGCACAAUGGAGGAAACUCUGAUGCAGCAACGCCGCGUGGAGGGUGACGCAUUUCGGUAUGUAAACUCCUUUUAUAUGUCAAGAAAAUGACGGUAGCAUAUGAAUAAGCACCGGCUAACUCCGUGCCAGCAGCCGCGGUAAUACGGAGGGUGCAAGCGUUACUCGGAAUCACUGGGCGUAAAGGACGCGUAGGCGGGUUGGAAAGUCAGGUGUGAAAUCCUACAGCUUAACUGUAGAACUGCACUUGAAACUUCUAAUCUAGAGUAUGGGAGGGGGAGAUGGAAUUAGUGGUGUAGGGGUAAAAUCCGUAGAUAUCACUAGGAAUACCUAAAGCGAAGGCGAUCUCCUGGAACAUUACUGACGCUAAGGCGUGAAAGCGUGGGGAGCAAACGGGAUUAGAUACCCGCGUAGUC
rnacentral:rRNA from 1 species